AUCAACGUUUCAGUUCCAUCUGGAACUUUCAUCAGGAUCAGGCAUGUCAGGAUGCCUGAUCCUGAUGAAAGUUCCAGAUGGAACUGAAACGU